rnacentral:rRNA from 1 species
UACAGAGGGGGCAAGCGUUGUUCGGAAUUACUGGGCGUAAAGGGCGCGUAGGCGGCCGCCUAAGUCAGACGUGAAAUCCCUCGGCUCAACCGGGGAACUGCGUCUGAUACUGGGUGGCUUGAAUCCGGGAGAGGGAUGCGGAAUUCCUGGUGUAGCGGUGAAAUGCGCAGAUAUCAGGAGGAACACCAGCGGCGAAGGCGGCGCUCUGGGCCGGUACUGACACUGAGGAGCGAAAGCGUGGGUAGCAAACAGG